rnacentral:rRNA from 1 species
UACGUAGGGUGCGAGCGUUGUCCGGAAUUAUUGGGCGUAAAGAGCUCGUAGGCGGCUCGUCGCGUCGACCGUGAAAACCCGCAGCUUAACUGCGGGCUUGCGGUUGAUACGGGCGGGCUAGAGUUCGGUAGGGGAGACUGGAAUUCCUGGUGUAGCGGUGAAAUGCGCAGAUAUCAGGAGGAACACCGGUGGCGAAGGCGGGUCUCUGGGCCGAUACUGACGCUGAGGAGCGAAAGCGUGGGGAGCGAACAGG